rnacentral:rRNA from 1 species
AUGAACGCUGGCGGCGUGCUUAACACAUGCAAGUCGAACGGAAAGGCCCAAGCUUGCUUAGGUACUCGAGUGGCGAACGGGUGAGUAACACGUGGGUGAUCUGCCCUGCACUUCGGGAUAAGCCUGGGAAACUGGGUCUAAUACCGGAUAGGACGAUGGUUUGGAUGCCAUUGUGGAAAGUUUUUUCGGUGUGGGAUGAGCUCGCGGCCUAUCAGCUUGUUGGUGGGGUAAUGGCCUACCAAGGCGUCGACGGGUAGCCGGCCUGAGAGGGUGUACGGCCACAUUGGGACUGAGAUACGGCCCAGACUCCUACGGGAGGCAGCAGUGGGGAAUAUUGCACAAUGGGCGCAAGCCUGAUGCAGCGACGCCGCGUGGGGGAUGACGGCCUUCGGGUUGUAAACUCCUUUCGCUAGGGACGAAGCGUUUUUGUGACGGUACCUGGAGAAGAAGCACCGGCUAACUACGUG